rnacentral:rRNA from 1 species
UACGGGGGGGGCAAGCGUUGUUCGGAAUUACUGGGCGUAAAGGGCUCGUAGGCGGCCAACUAAGUCAUACGUGAAAUCCCUCGGCUUAACCGGGGAACUGCGUCUGAUACUGGAUGGCUUGAGUUCGGGAGAGGGAUGCGGAAUUCCAGGUGUAGCGGUGAAAUGCGUAGAUAUCUGGAGGAACACCAAUGGCGAAGGCAGCACUCUGGGACGUGACUGACGCUGAGACGCGAAAGCGUGGGGAGCAAACAGG